rnacentral:lncRNA from 1 species
AUAAUGCCUCAUUCACAACAUGCCUUCAUCUGCUGCCAUCCUACUAAUAAUUGUUAUAAUUGUUACCCCGUAUGCAAGGAUUGCUAGUGCCUCAUUUCCUUCUGGAAGCAAGUUUCAAGCAAUUAAAAAGGUACUAUUAAAGGAGAAAAGAAAAAAUUGCCAGGAAUGGCCAGCAAUCCCUGUACCAACAGAUGAAAGAUUACUCCAAACUUGGCUGUGAAAGAAAGAAGAAGCCAAGAGGGUUAAUGCUCAGAGAUGAAGACCCUUUGCACUUCUUUACUCCUGCCUUUCUUGGUCCUUCGGAAUAAACACAAGUCUUUACCACUGUUUCUUAA